GGUGGUGUAGUGUGGUGUAGUGUAGUGUAGUGUAGGGUGGGGUGGUGUAGUGUAGUGUAGGGUGGUGUAGUGUAGUGUAGUGUAGGGUGGUGUAGUGUGGUGUAGUAUGGUGUAGUGUAGUGUAGGGUGGUGUAGUGUGGUGUAGUGUAGUGUAGGGUGGUGUAGUGUAGUGUAGGGUGGUGUAGUGUAGUGUAGUGUAGAGUGGUGUAGUGUAUGUGGGUGUAGUGUGGUGUAGUGUAGUGUAGGGUGGUGUAGUGUAGUGUAGUGUAGGGUGGUGUAGUGUAGUGUAGUGUAAUGUAGGGUGGUGUAGUGUAGUGUAGUGUAGGGUGGUGUAGUGUAGUGUAGGGUGGUGUAGUGUGGUGUAGUGUGGUGUAGUGUAGGGUGGUGUAGUGUGGUGUAGUGUAGUGUAGGGUGGUGUAGUGUAGUGUAAUGUAGGGUGGUGUAGUGUAGUGUAGGGUGGUAGAGUGUGGUGUAGUGUAGUGUGGUGUAUUGUGGUGUAGUGUAGUGUAGGGUGG
ensembl:lncRNA